CACGCUCUUGCCGCUGCCAGACCGGGAUCUUCGCCAACGGAUUGACUUCGUUCCCAACCUAUAAAUGCGACUGCAGGACCUCCUUUCAUCCAACCUCGAGGGAGCCAAUGAUGUAGCUGAUGGCUACCUCGCCGGAGAGAGAGAAUCGGGCAUGGAGCACCUCCAUCGAGCGGAGCGGUGAGGGAGAGAGAUUAUGAAACGCCCUGUGCGGAUAUUUCUCGCGCGCGAAGUAGAUGGACUCAAUUCUUUGCUUGCCGGGGGGACUUCACCGUGGAGCUCGAACGGGUGGGGAGCGUCCGGGCCCCCGGAAUUGGUGGCCGGAAAUUGUCGUCGCGGUCCGCUCUGCGCCGUGAACGGGAUCUUCAGAGCAUUCUUCCCUCCGGUAUGAACCCACUCCCAGUUUCACAAUAACCACUGUAACAUUCGUUGCCAGUUUACUCCGAGUUUUGGGCUCGGGAUCAUAGAAUUGGGCGGCUCUGCAAUGGCGACACCGCGCCAGACAGCGCACCGCCGUUCGGACACCGGAGGAAGGAGAAGACAAGUUUGUGCCGUGCGAUUCAAUUCGUGUGGCUCAGAUUUGGGGACGUGCUAACCGCUAGAUCUCGAGUGGACCGCUGUGAUUGAACGGCGGGU
rnacentral:lncRNA from 7 species